rnacentral:lncRNA from 1 species
CUAGAUACCAGCUUAGAGACAUCAUAAUGACAAUUUUUAGAGAUUAGGAGGUGUCACAGUUCUGUGACAGAAGACAAAAGGACCCACCGUCCCACACCCCGGGACUGAAAGGUGGCCUAUGUUUUUAAAGUAUCUGCAUUAGGGCACUUCCACAUCAGCAGUCACACUUGAAGUUCUUCUCUAAAGUACCUCAUUUCCUACUGGUUUGUCUCUUAAUGUCUUCAUUUAAUUCUCCAUGGAUUGCACUGUGCAUGACAUGGUGUUGAAAUAUCCAUGGCUUGAAGUACACCAGCAUCUCAGGUGAGCAUUCAAAACAGCACAGAAACUUGUACAUAGAAUUAAGAAAGGAGGAACUAACGCAGCAGACAAGGACUGUAUCAACACAGCCCUAAUCAAGAACAGCUGCAAUAAUCUUUGCAAUGGAAGAGAACAGCUGUAAUGAAUCUUUACUUAGAAUAACUUCUUUUCAUGCUAGAUUCUUGCCACCUAUUCCUCUCAUCUACACAUGUAACUGAGAUCAUGGUUCAAAGAUGAGGCUUCUUGCUCACUUAAAUAUGGUAACACAGAUUUUACAGACGUACUGACAUGGAUUUUCUCCUCCAAAAUCUAUCCAGGCUUCAGCCACAGACAGCCUCACAUCUCCCUAGCUACUGUACAGACAGUGAAGCCUACAGAGCAACGAAGGAGGUGCCAGCCCCAGGAACGCUCACAAGCUGUUUGCUGCUGAGAGAAACCUCCCACACUACAACCCAUUCAACAUCACCCACCUAGAACCUGCAGACUGAACAAGAUCCAGGAUGGCAUCUCAUCGUGCUACAUUUACAUCAUCAAUAGUUAGUAAGAAAUUCAGGAAGUUUACUGAGCAGAAUUCACAGCUUGCUACUGUAAAACGUGGAAAAGGUAGCCCACAGUUACAUUCCAGCCAUCAGGCGACUGUUGGAAGGCAAGCAGGCAGAAGAAAAAUGUAGUUGUAGAUGGUUUAUUUGACAGAUAGUCUCUGAAGUGAAACCAUAUUUUAUAUGCUAACUCCAUGCUUGCUUUCUUGUGUUGAAGAGAUAAGAGAAAUCUCACUUUACUCAGUUCUGGAAAAGCAGAUUAUGAUAUCAGCUCCUGAAACAACUGAGAGGUGGACACCAAGAUCUGCUGGAAUAUGUGCUCUCUCUUGCAGUGAGCACUUGCACAGAUUUUAAGUAGAAAACUACAGUAUGUUCCGGUAGCAGGUACGCAUCUGACUCUAAUCUGAAAUAACAAAAAGAACUGGGACUCUUCUAAGCAUAUUGGUACACAUCACCAAAUGUUCUGUUGCUUUAUACCUCACCAUGCUCACGGAGAUAAAUAUAACAGAGAAUGACUUCAACUAUUUUAUGAAUAAUAAAUUCCUGAGAUCAAGAAAGAUGUUCUAUAUA